GCCCUGGGAAAACCACUGUAAACUGCUUGUAGGAGAACUGAUCUCUUAAUAAAAUACAGAAAAACCAUCUCAGAAAAAGGAAAAUGGGCAAUCGUCAUAGCCAGUCGUAUACCCUCUCAGAAGGCAGUCAGCAGUUGCCCAAAGGGGACACCCAACCCUCGACAGCCGUGCAGCCUCUCAGCCACCCAACAGGAAAUGGAGAGCCAGAGUCCCCGCAGUCUGCUAAAGCAAGCAGUCCUCAGGGUUUUGAUGUGGAUCAAGAUGCCAAAAAGCUGAACAAAGCCUGCAAAGGAAUGGGAACCAAUGAAGCAGCUAUCAUUGAAAUCUUAUCGGGCAGGACAUCAGAGGAGAGGCAACAAAUCAAGCAAAAGUACAAGGCAACAUAUGGCAAGGACCUGGAGGAGGUACUCAAGAGUGAGCUGAGUGGAAACUUCAAGAAGACAGCCUUGGCCCUUCUGGACCGCCCCAGCGAGUAUGCUGCCCGGCAGCUGCAGAAGGCUAUGAAAGGUCUGGGCACAGAUGAGUCUGUGCUCAUUGAGGUCCUGUGCACGAGGGCUAAUAAGGAAAUCAUCGCCAUAAAAGAGGCCUACCAAAGGAUAUUUGACAGGAGCCUGGAAUCAGAUGUCAAAGGUGAUACAAGUGGAAACCUAAAAAAAAUCCUGGUAUCCCUGCUACAGGCUAAUCGUGAUGAAGGAGAUGACGUGGACAAAGAUCUAGCUGGCCAGGACGCCAAAGAUCUGUAUGAUGCAGGGGAAGGCCGCUGGGGCACGGAUGAGCUUGCCUUCAAUGAAGUCCUGGCCAAGAGGAGCUACAGGCAGUUACGAGCCACCUUUCAAGCCUAUCAGAUUCUCAUUGGCAGAGACAUAGAAGAAGCCAUUGAGGAAGAAACAUCAGGAGAUUUGCGGAAGGCCUAUUUGACUCUUGGCCCUGGAAUGAAGGCAUUGUCCAUUGUCCAUGCUCCUGUGGUGAGGAAUCCAGGGCACCGUCCCAAAUGGCAGAAGCAAUGGAGAUAACAGUCCUCAGAAGAGGAAGGACCGAAUAAGCAGCCCUGGAAGUUUAAAAAUGUGCUCCAGUUGCCAAACUCUUUUGUUUGGUUUCUUUGGGGUUUUUUUUCUUUUUUUUUUUUUGAACAAUGUCAGCAAUUGAUUUUUUUUAAUCCAUCCUUAUUUUGCAUUCAAUAAGCAAGACCUCUGCUGUGAUAUCCCGAGGCCUAAAAAUCCCAGGUGUUGCUCAUGACCCAGGCUGGGUAUAUAUGGGAGCCCUGGUUCAAGUAACUGUGCUUAGGGCCUUAACCCAUUUAUGCCAAUUUUUUGAACGCAGAUGUGUGAAAAAUUAGAUCCUGGCUAUGACCUUGAGCAGUAGGAUAUAAAUAACCCUGACAUGCUUAUCAUUCCAAGAAUGAAACACUAGGCAUAAUUAAGAAGAGUCUCAGGUAGAUAAUAGGAUCUACUCAUGGCCUGGUUCUGAGGCUCUACGUCCUUGCUAUGCUGUACUUGCAAUGCAGAGAAUCGGGAAAACACCUGAGUACAGUCAGGAGAUGGUAUUACAACUACUCAAUGAUUUAACAUUUACCCAACACCUACCUGGGUCCAGAGUUUGCCCUGGGUGUGGGGAUAAGAGGUGAAUAAGACCAGUUCUUGCCCUUCAAGGAGCUUAAAGCUUAUGGUGAAUUGUAAUCUGGUGGGUACAAAAAGUCAACAGAUCAGGCUAAAGUUAAAGAUUAAAAACGAAGGGCAAAGUGGAUACGGAUGAAGGAAAGCCAAGUCCCUGGGUUUGGGGACCAGACACUCUCAGAGUGGGCUGUACUCCAGUGCUAGUGAAAGCCGAAGUGAUUAGAAAAGACCUUGAGAAUAAGCCACACAACAGAAUAUGGCUUUAUGACUACUUUCUAAACACUUCCCACCCCUCUCCCAGCUAACUUACAGCUAUGCCAGUUUAAGACUAACAUCUAGGAGCAGGGGGCUGAGGCCAAAUGACUCCCACCACAUGCAGCAUCUAGAGCAGCAUUUCUCAAAGUGAGGUCCAGGGACACCCUGCCUCAGAAUCCUGUUACAAUGCAGGUUCCUGGGCCCCACUCCAGGCUCCCUUUGAGAACCUCCAGGAAGGGAGCCCAGGAAGUCACUUUUUUUUUUUUUAAGAGAGAGUCUCGCUCUGAUACCAGGCUGGAGUGCAGUGGUGCCAUCUCGGCUCACCAUAACCUCUGCCUCCUAGGUUCAAGCCAUUCUCCUGCCUCAGCCUCCUGAGUAGCUGGGACUAUAGGCAUGCACCACCACACCCAGCUAAUUUUUUGUAUUUUUAGUACAGACGGGGUUUCACCGUGUUUGCCAGGAUGGUCCCAAUCUCCCGACCUCGUGAUCCACCCACCUCCACCUCCCAAAGUGCUGGGGUUACAGGUGUGAGCCACCAUGCCCAACCAAAGCCACACUUCUACAAGCUGUCCAAAUGACUGUGUUAUACACACAGCAAGAUCAGGAACUUGCUCUGAAGGCAAAGGGGAGCAAGAUAUGGAGCACAGGGCUGGCUGCCCUUCCUGCCGCUCACUGUGAAGAGGGUUUUUUUUGCUUUUGUUUCUGUUUUUCAAGUCACAGUUUCACUCUGUCACCCAGGCUAGAGUGCAGUGGUGCAACCUGGCCCACUGCAACCUCUGCCUCCCGGGUUCAAGUGAUUCUCGUGCCUCAGCCUCCCGAGUAGCUGGGAUUACCAUACCUGGCUAAUUUUUGUAUUAUUAGAGACACAGUUUCACCAUGUUGGCCAGGCUGGUCUUGAACUCCUGACCUCAAGUGAUCCAUCUGCCUUGGCCUCCUGAAGUGCUGGGAUUACAGGUAUGAGCCACCAUGCCCAGAAGGUGUUUUAUUCCACAUCUUCUCUGGCUAUCCCUGCCCAGCCUUUUGAGGGAUUCCUGCUGCUGCUAACAACAGAGGUUGUUCCCAUGCAUAGAUUCCAGACAGGAGAAAUGUUGAGAGUUUUUAAAAAUGUUAAAGAAGAGCCCUAUGCAGGAGCAGAACACAGUGACUUUAGGCAGACAGUGAUCCCCACAUUAAGUCAUGCUACAUGGAAGAGGAUUUUCGGGAAAACUUUGUGGUGCUCACUAGCUCAGAUUGUCUGCAGACCACAGUGAGUCUCAAUAUGCUACUCCCCAAGUAGCAUACAAGUUCCCCCUGAACCACCAAUCCAGCAGCUCUUGGGUUGUCCUCAGGAGAAAGAGGCCAGACACUUUUUCUUUUCCAGUGUGAUUUUCUUUUCCAUUGUAACUGUGGCAGCUGCCACAUGGCCUGGAGCAGGAGACUGGCCCCCAACCUAGACUCUGCUUCCCUCACCUGUCUUCUCCCCUGCUUAUAAGCGUCAAUCACACAGGUGGUCCCCCAGACGACAGCAUCCCCUUAUGGGACAGUUGCACAUUCUACAUGUAUGCUGAAAUAAUCACUUACUGUUAAUCACUAACAUCAUCAAGUAUUCUAGAGAAAUGUUAACAGCCUAAAGAACAAAUCUUUUUUUCUCUAACCUGUUAGUCAAGAUGGAUCCAUAUAAGCCUGGGAGGAGGGGAAGGAAUGAUUUAUUCCCAGAAGAGAGGCUGGGAUCACCUGCUUGAUGAAUACAGACCAUGCUUCAUUAAGCUGUGGAUAGAUCAAAGCUGGAAGGCAAGGGGAGGCCAGGAACGAGCAAAUAGCAGCAUCGUAGGACAGUGAUCUUUAAAGAGGAUCAAACAUUUCAUCAAGUCCACAUCCCGGACUGCAAACCAAAAGAUCAUGGGGAACCCGGAAAAGGUUCAGAGAUGAGACUCACAAAAAAAAGUCCAGCGAGGAAAAACAAAGGGUGGGAGGCUGCUGAGCAGGAGAGCAGGCGGCUGUCCAGCUUGACACACGGUCAAGAUGAUGUUUUAUUCCAGACAGUUGCUGGCCAAUCUGUUUCCCUUCAGAACCCUACAACAGCACCCGAGAUUCCACUUAGAUAGGGAAAGUUACUUCUGCUGGGAAAUAAUGAAAAUCACAGAUGUGGCUGGGAAGGCCCAAGGAUGCUGCAGCUCUCCUCUGGAGGGUCUUCGGGGGACAUGGGAGGAGCUCUGCUUGAAGUUUCCAGGUGCUCUGACCAGGGAAUCUUCCGAAUCUCAUUUCACAAUAGUGUCAAGUCAGCGCCUUUCAAAUCUGCCUCACCAUUCAGUCAUCUUGAAGGGGAGCCAGGUGACAUUCGGCAGGGUGGGUCCCCAUGUCAUUCCACAAAACUUGAAAGCCUCACAUUUUCUUUUCCUUUACUCUGUUUAGUGAGAUGUGCCCGGGACUGCGAGGGCUAUUUUGCUGAAUGUCUAUACAAGUCGAUGAAGGGUGUGGGGACGGAUGAGGAGACAUUGAUUCGUAUAAUUGUCACCAGGGCCGAGGUGGACCUUCAGAGGAUCAAAGCAAAGUUCCAAG